CCUACGGGUGGCUGCAGUGGGGAAUAUUGGACAAUGGGGGGAACCCUGAUCCAGCCAUGACGCGUGUGUGAAGAAGGCCCUCGGGUUGUAAAGCACUUUCAGUGAGGAAGAACGCCUGGUGGUUAAUACCCAUCAGGAAAGACAUCACUCACAGAAGAAGCACCGGCUAACUCCGUGCCAGCAGCCGCGGUAAUACGGAGGGUGCGAGCGUUAAUCGGAAUUACUGGGCGUAAAGCGCGCGUAGGUGGCUUGAUAAGCCGGUUGUGAAAGCCCCGGGCUCAACCUGGGAACGGCAUCCGGAACUGUUAAGCUAGAGUGCAGGAGAGGAAGGUGGAAUUCCCGGUGUAGCGGUGAAAUGCGUAGAGAUCGGGAGGAAUACCAGUGGCGAAGGCGGCCUUCUGGACUGACACUGACACUGAGGUGCGAAAGCGUGGGUAGCAAACAGGAUUAGAUACCCCAGUAGUC
rnacentral:rRNA from 1 species